ACCAUGGGUAGGGCUUGGCCAAGGCUUUGGCCAUAGUACUGGCCACACAUAUGAAAAGGGGGCUUGGUGUGUCUGGGCCACAGAAGCCUUGUGUUCUAGAUGGAAGA